GAACUUUCCAGAGAUGGAUUGGUGCCUUCGGGAACUGUGAGACAGGUGCUGCAUGGCUGUCGUCAGCUCGUGUUGUGAAAUGUUGGGUUAAGUCCCGCAACGAGCGCAACCCUUAUCCUUUGUUGCCAGCGGUCCGGCCGGGAACUCAAAGGAGACUGCCAGUGAUAAACUGGAGGAAGGUGGGGAUGACGUCAAGUCAUCAUGGCCCUUACGACCAGGGCUACACACGUGCUACAAUGGCGCAUACAAAGAGAAGCGACCUCGCGAGAGCAAGCGGACCUCAUAAAGUGCGUCGUAGUCCGGAUUGGAGUCUGCAACUCGACUCCAUGAAGUCGGAAUCGCUAGUAAUCGUGGAUCAGAAUGCCACGGUGAAUACGUUCCCGGGCCU
rnacentral:rRNA from 1 species